CUUGGUUCUGUAAGAAUAUGUGUCCCAGCUGAUUAUGUUGCUUAUAAAAAAUUCUAGGAAGUGGCACUGAAAGUGCUAGACUUGGCAUUUAAAGGUACAGUUCUGAGCCCCGUCUGCCACAUAUUAGCUUUGUGACUCUAGGCUCUUUGUCUGAAUUUCCUCUUCUGUUAGAGUGGUGAAAUAAUAAGGAUCUUAUAAGAAAUCAAUUAAACAAUGCAUAUGAAAAACUUAAAUUCAUUUCCACUUAAACAGGGGAGUGAUUAUUUCAAUCACAAGACAUGAAAUCAGGAUGAUGAACACAUUUGGCAAGAAUCUAGUUCCAGGAAACAUGUUUUGAUGCUGCUUAACACAGCUUUUGGAAGUUGAUGAACAUCAUCAAAGUGUGAACCCAUCUCAGCUGACAAGGGGGACACAAAUUUGCUGCCUUCCUAUGUCAGCAUCUGAAGAGAUGGCAUGUGGAUGGGAACCAGCCAGGACAGCUGUGGAGGCAGCCAUAUCGCUGAAGAAGUGCAGGCUGCACCUGACCUUUCCCAGUGACCAAGGCAGUGCACACAGGGCCACACAGGGACAUCCUUCCAUGUUUUAUGGUUUGUAGGUGGCUGUCGAAUUCAGCGUCAUGGGAUUUUUCAUGUGUUCCCCCAGCUUCUUUGGGAAGGAGUCCUGGUAGGGGCAGAAGUCGGUGGCCCAGCCCAGCUUCUGGCACUUCCAUGGGAGUGAGGUGCAAAGACAGAGUGCAGUACAUUUAAAGUGUUUUGCCAAAACUUUUUUAUGGGAUUUGAGUACAAAUACCAAAGGGGUUGUCCAUGGAAAGAAGUGGGCCUUAGGCUGAUAUCUUGUUGGGGGAUGCAGCGAGAUUGGGGGUAACCUCUGACCCCAUCUGUAGGAUUCACUGGAUCUGCUUGAUGUUUGCUUGUAGUUGUUUGACUGAUGAUGACAUUACUGUUUAGACAUUUGGACUGCAAGGAGAAAUCCCACCACAGAUAAGUAGAUCGUCUUGUCUUUGCAUGGGCAUGCUGCCCUGGCUUGUCUGAUGUGUGCAUUAUGGGACGUAUGCACAGGAACAGCUCAGUUACCCACUCACCAGUCGUGAGGGUGCAAGACCUCUAAAAGUGAGGCCUGUAACUUGUUCAUCUUCAAGAUAGAGACUUCACAUUUCGGUGUAAUCACCAUCAACACUUACUGAAUUGAUCCGAAUUCAAUAAAUAUGAAUUCACGGAUAAUCUGCCAAAUUUAAAAUAUUGCCCUAGUGGUUUGGGGUGCACAGAGUUAAGUGAAACCACCCAUUCUUAGGGAUCAUCCAAUGCAGGAGUGCUGGCAUAUUCAUCAGCAAGGGCUGUCACACAGAACAUCACAGGCCCUGUGCUUACGCAACCGUUUCUGCUGAGGCCUCUCUUCCUGCUUAUAGACAGUGCCUUUUCACUUUGAGCUUGCUUGGCCUCUUCUCUGUGCAUGCACAGAGAGAGAGAAAGGGAGAACAGGCAGCCUCUGGCGCCUCUUCCUGUUCUCAUGACACUAGUUAAUAAGGUUCGGUUCUGUGUCCCCACCCAAAUCUCAUCUUGAAUUGUAGCUCCCAUAAUUCCUACUUGUUGUGAGAGGACCUGGUGGGAGAUAAUUGAAUCGUGGGGGUAGUUUCUCCCCACACUAUUCUCAUGAUAGUGAAUAAGUCUCAUGAGAUCUGAUGAUUUUAUAAGGGGUUUCCCCUUGGCUUGGUUUUCAUUCUCUCUUGCCUGCUGUCAUGUAAGAUGUGUCUUUCACCUUCCAUCAUGAUUGUGAGGCCUCUCCAGCCACGUGGAACUGUGAGUCCAUUAAACUUCUUUUUCUUUAUAAAUUACCCAGUCUUUGGUAUGUCUUUAUCAGCAGUGUGGAAAUAGACUAACACACCAGUCCUAUUGGAUUAGGGCCCCACCCUUACGACCUGACUAGACCUUAAUUACUUUCCUGAAGGCCCCAUCUCUAAUAUAGUCACACUGGAGGGUUAGGGCUUCAACACAUGAAUUUGGCUGGGGAGGCACAGUUCAGUACACAACAGAUGGGAACCAUCUUUUUUUUUCUGUUUCAACUUUUUUUUCAGUAUCAACUUUUUGUUUUGUUACAGUGAUUUAGCAUAAAACAAGUAGACACUAAUGUAACAUGCUCACUUAAAAUUCCAAGAAUUCUCAAAAAUUCUCGUACUAUGAACUGACCUUCUUAGUUUCUAAAACUGAAGAAAUCAUUGUAAUUUAAAACAUAAAUCAUCUCAAUCAUAAACAUUAAGAGUUUCCUUGGUGUUCACUCUUGGGAUAUUUCAAAAGAUGAUAAAGUAUGAAAUUAAGCAGAGCCUAUUAAGAUCAACCAUUUUUUAUUAUAUGACCUAUUCAUUUCAAAAUGUAGAUGCACAUAAUAAAUAAGUUUUCCAGUGUGUGCCUGCUCAGAGGUUUCUACACUCUCAGAAAGAAACCAAGCUAAUUACACAUGAAAUAUCAACUGGUGAGCAAUUAUAACCUGAAAAAUACCCUCAUGAUUUUGUAUAUUUUAUAAAUUUAUGAGUUGGGCAAAAAAUGUUAUAUCUAUACCAUGAAUUCAGAAACAGUGGUAAAAUAUGGUCAUAACAAACAGUAUGUGUAUAUAUACACACACGUAUACACAUACACACAUUAUACAUACACGUACCUCAUACACACACACACCUCAUACACACACACCCACACACCCACACCCACCACUAUCAUAAACUUCUGCUUUUAUUUGGCUGGUAAUAUGUACAAAUGAAUAUUUCUGAUUUGUUAGCUUUCUUGGCAUAUUUCUGUCUAAUUUUUUUAAUCUCUCCUCCUUCUUUUCAGAUAAGAAAAACAUGCUCUCUCUUCUCUAAUGAUUGGACAGACUCCUACUCCAAAACAGAAGAUCUCAACUCUGGAAGAGAACAGAUGCCUUCCACUGUGUGAGCGUAAAUUCAGAGCCUUCCAACUUGACAUUCUCAUCGACAAAUUAUUUAAACAUGACGGCUCUUUUAUAAAGAGUGUUAUCUUAAAAGGAAAGGAAUCAAAGGGCUGAACAUGUUGAAGGGAGGAGAAACAAGACCCCCAGGACUUGUCAAUGGCACACAUGAAAGACAGAAAACACCAGAAGCCAGUCUUCAGCCUGCUGGCCCAGCCAUGGCCACUGUAACGUACGGCUAAACCCCUGCCCCGAUCAGCUCUCAAGGCUCUGAGCCAACUGCCUAGACCGUCUAUUUGAGAUCCCUGAGAGUUUCAACACAGGGCAUGGCUGACCUCUCCACCGUGUCAUUUCCAGUAAUGCGGCCUCACUGAUAGCAGAAGUUCGGAGAGCUCUUGUCAGAGAGGCCAGCUGGCACCAUGUGAGUCUUACCCAGAGGGAAACCUGACAAUCUUCCAGCAUGCUCACCAGACUGGGGCACUGACUUUUGUCACUUGAUUCUCAACUCACAGUCUCAAGAUGCUGGUGCUAAUGUACAUUGCAGCUGACACUGGAGUUUAUUUUUAUAACUGCUCUUGCCUCAGAAAAAGCUCCAUCCCAGUACGACUUCCAGGACAGGGAUGGUCUGGAUGCUGCAGUUAGGACAAUGAUCAUCUCGUUCUCUUAGUGGUUAGGAAUCCUGUGGGCUUAUGGAAUAAGCUCGCUGAAACAGACAGUGACAUCCACGGUGACACUGACCGAAUUGUGCUCCAGUGGCCUAGAGAGUGCCUAUUAUUUAUCUCAUUUCUGUUCUGCAUAAUAACACCAACCAAACCGCUAAUGAAUGAAUAUUAUUACAUGCUUUGGUAGGAACGCAAAGGCAAAUUGGGCUCACUGUAGAGAAUAUCUUGCUCCUCAUUUUGUAUUAAAAUGCCUAGACGCCCCUCAAGAGACCAUGUCAAGGAUGAAAUUUAUCCACUGCCUGCAUUUGCUAAUUUGAAAGAGUUCUGAUUUCAUCUGCCGGGCUUAAUAUAGAAAUUCUUUUAACCUGAACAGAUACACAGAAAUGUGGAAUUUAUUCAAUGCCAUUUUCUUGAUUUAUGUCAGGAAAUAUAUAUGGCUAUGCUGUCAUCUUUUUAUAUAUAGACAUCAAUAUAUAUAAAUAUAUAGAGUCAAGUCAGAAAUUCUGAAACCACAUUGCACUUAGCCCUUACAGCAUAAUGCUUUCCAUAUUCUUCACAGUUUGUUUCCCUGAUCCUUUAGAGAGAGCUACUGUGUUUAAAGUGUAAACCAUUUUUACAGAAAAAAUGUAUUACAAUUCUAUAUGAUAAUUCUCAAAGUUCAGGAAAAUAAUCUGAAAUAAACAUUCUAAAUUGAGGAAUGAAUAAUAAAGACUCAUCAAUUGGGCUGGGAGCAGUGGCUCACGCCUGUAAUCUCAGUACUUUGGGAGACCGAGGCAGGCGGAUCACCUGAGGUCAGCCUGGCCAACCUGGUGAAACCCCGUCUCUACCAAAAAAAUACAAAAACUAGCUGGGCAUGGUGGCACAUGCCUGUAAUCCCAGCUACUCUGAAGGCUGAGGCAGGAGAAUUGCUUGAACCUGGGAGGCAAAGGUUCCAGUGAGCUGAGAUCGCCCUAUUGCACUCCAGCCUAGCUGUCUCAAAAAAAA
rnacentral:lncRNA from 10 species